rnacentral:lncRNA from 1 species
GUGGGGGUGUUCAGCUUAUGCAGGAAGUGAGACUUCAGAACCAAAACACGGCACAUAUUAGUCAUAGCUACAAGUACAGUAAGAAUUUUAAUUCAUUUUAAUCUUUAUCAUCUCCUCACCUAUUGUAGUAUAAUUCAAUUCUCUGUUAGCCAGGUUUGUUUUACUUUCUGUAUUUGAUCAUUCUUAGAGAAAAUUAAACAAACUAGAAGUUAAGUAGCUCUGCAUUUUCGUCUGAUAAUGAGCAAAUGAUGACCAUCAUAGAAAAUCACAACUAGACACAAUGAAGAGAUCGACAGAUAGUGUGGAGCGCAGCCCUAAUGGAUACAUCUACAUCACAGCUCCUGACAGAAAGCAUUUCAUGGGGGAGAAAUUGAUACUUUGCAGAAAUCUUUGUUUUACAAGGAAUGAAGCCAUUGACAUCAAUGAACCCAGUUCACAAAUAGCACUACAAACAUCAUUAUUUAUCAAACAAUAACUGGAUGUUGUCUUCAAUGUUUAUGACAGAUAUUCUUUUUAUAAGGUUGCUUUCAAUCUACGUUUUCUAUUUCUAGAUUUUAUUAUCACAACACACUUAUGAAAAACACUUGCAUUGUUCUCUGGCACAGGGACAUGGAAAAGUACAUAUCUUAAGAGCACACUUAUGCAUCAUUAGAUUACAUUGUAAAAGUUGAUUACAUAAGAAAUCAAGACAAGUAAAAUUGUCACAUUUGCUCCCUUAUAAGUAGGUUAAACAAACAGUCUAAAUAGACAGUAGGAGAUCAGUUUUAAAUCUUAAGUGACCUCAAGGUGUAUUACUGACUCUGGCUGUCCAGCAAAAGUUCCAGUUUCUUAGAAUAUAAUAAACUUUUUU